GCUGGCGGCGUGCCUAACACAUGCAAGUCGAACAGAGAAAGUGGAGCUUGCUUCACAAGUACAGUGGCAGACGGGUGAGUAACACGUGAACAACCUACCCUCGAGUGGGGAAUAACACCGCGAAAGCGGUGCUAAUACCGCAUAAUAUCUCUGAAUCGCAUGGUUUUGAGAUCAAAAGCUUCGGUUGCUUGAGGAGGGGUUCGCGCCUGAUUAGCUUGUUGGUGAGGUAACGGCUCACCAAG
rnacentral:rRNA from 1 species